rnacentral:rRNA from 1 species
CUCCUACGGGACGCAGCAGUGGGGAAUAUUGCACAAUGGGGGAAACCCUGAUGCAGCGAUGCCGCGUGGAGGAAGAAUGUUUUCGGAUUGUAAACUCCUUUUAUCAGGGACGAUAAUGACGGUACCUGAAGAAAAAGCUCCGGCUAACUACGUGCCAGCAGCCGCGGUAAUACGUAGGGAGCGAGCGUUGUCCGGAAUUACUGGGUGUAAAGGGAGCGUAGGCGGGACGGCAAGUCAGAUGGGAAAACUGAGGGCUGAACUUUCAGACUGAAGUGGAAACUGCUGUUCUUGAGCGAAGCAGAGGG